GUUCUGAAUUUAGAAUCUGAUCCUUGCUUAGGUUCACUUGUCAGGCAUAGGUCCAAGAUUAACAAAGAAAAUGUAAUGGCAAUCAAAUCGGAAUUUCUAUUAUUAUAAAAGACUGUUUCCUUCUCUCCCAGCCUUCCACAUCAGAUUCCAACUAGAUAAGUCGAAGUUUAUCAUCGUGACAUGUGUUCAUGUACUCAAUCCGCAACAUUUCAUUAAAACAUAAUUACAAUUCGUUUGGGUUUUUAUUAUAUAUGGGUUUCAUGUUUUACGUAUAAACCCAAUUAUAUUUCCUUCUUCCGUCUGCGUUAAGACGACGUCACCGUCGCGUCGAUCCAAGUACAGGCCACCGCCUCUUACCAGAAAAGGGGUAACGUUCUAGGCUUUCAUUCAAUCUCCGUGAUUUACGUUCUCAAUCACCUUCAUUAACUCCCAUUCAGUAGUAGCACCUUCACCCUCCUCGAUGGUUACAAAACUUAUCCUAUAAAUAAGGAGAAACUUAUAAGGAGAGCUCUUCAAGACGAAUUGCGAUGAAUCUGAUGAUGAUUCCUUGGAUCGAGAAGUCUUGGUGUCGUUUCAUCUCAUGUUCUUCUCCCCAGAACCCUUACGCAAUGAAAUGAUUGUCUUUCACUAACGACCCAUCUUAUGCACACACACAAAACAAAGAUCUCUACUUUGUUUGAUGUUGGCUAUCUGAAUCAGACUUUGCUUAAUAGUUUGAUGUAUGAUUAAUGAGAAAGCCAGGGUCUGCUUCCCAAGAUAGAAGAGGCGGGUUUGAUUACAGAAAAUAUGAAAUUAACCAGACACAUGAAAAGGUGAUUAGAGCUUCAGAGACACUUGAAUCCUGCAACUUGAUAGGAAAACUCGGAACCUAACAUUAUCUUGGAGAUUGGGACUAGAAGAAGAGGUAACAGUUCGCUCUCAUGACGUCUCUGAUGCUGUGGAAACAUGACCAAAGAUCUCUGCAAGGGUUGUACCGGGUCAAGAGUUAUUCUGUUUCAGUAGAGAUCCUGAAGAAUGUUUCUUGCGAUUGCUUAUGAGAACUUUAUUGGCUGUGUUGUGCUUAUUGUAGAGAUUUGGGAUGCUCUUUAGCACUGAGGAGUUUGAUAUUUUUGUGAACGAUCGAGUAUUUUGAAUGAUCUCUUAAGUGGCUUCUGAAACUACAUAAUAUCAGAGAUUACUGUGAAUUUAGCCAGUGUGUUAGUCUUGGAAGAUGCUUCGGUUGGACCGAAUUGAAAUAUAUGUAAACAUGAAUUAUAUAUAUAAUUAUUUUAUAGUCAA